AUGCACAGCUACUCCCACGACCAUUCUGGGACACUCUCUGCUACCUUUAUAGCUGCACAUGUUAAGCUAUUUCUGAUGUGCCUGGGCAGUCUCAGCCGCUCAUGGUCUCUCUCAGACCCUUGUUGAGAUGUGCUAAGAUGCGCAACUCUCUACAGUCCAUCAGGUACUAUUUUAUAAAGCCAAAACCUACUCUACAUCAAAAUCAUAGCC
rnacentral:lncRNA from 1 species